CUGUGUCGCUCACCUGUAUCUACUGUGUUUUUUUGAAAUCACGUAAUAAUAAGGUUAAAAACAUAACAAAUAGUAUAAAAAAACCUAAUGAUGAUUGAGGCCACGUUUGGUUCAUUUUGAACUAGUAGUUAAAUCAAAAGCAGAGCAUCCUAUUUGAUUCUUAGUAUAGUUACUAAAGAUCCCUUGUCAUUAUGAAGACUAAUUUUUAAGUUUUGACAUAUGAAAUUGUUUUUUCUUCUACAAUUGUCCCUUAAACAUCUAUAGUAAACCGAUAUGUUUUAUUUUUAGCAAUGGCAGCCUUUAUAGUUGGAUGACAUGGUCACCGGAUACAUUUGUCUAAUGAAGAAACCCUAUUGAAAAUUGUGACUAACUUAAUUAUAUAUGGCCCAAGGGGCCUGGUUUUCGAAAGUAUCAUAAGAUAUGUCAUAAGAUAUAAUCUUAGGACAUAUUUUAUGAUCAUCUUAUGACUAUCAUAUGAUAUGUCAUAGGAUGUAAAUCAAAGCUGUCUUAAGAGAGUCAUAGCUAUGAUGCUCUUAUGACUGUCAUAAG
rnacentral:lncRNA from 1 species